CCCUCACACAUUUUGUGAUGGAUGCAAAUUCCGCCCAGCUUCCAACACGGCGUAGUCUUCAUCGAUCCUGAGGAAAACGUUCAUUAGAAAUGAAUGAUAGAUGACAUCUUGGCGACGUGGCGGUCGGUCGACGUACCCUGUGGCUUGGGUUCCGGCUGCCUAAUUACGUCUCUUUCGCAAAUUUAUACUAUCAUUAGUCAAAAUAAACUGUGCUAAUGGAAUUGAUGUAUAUCACCUUAGAGCAGCCAAAACUCCGAGCAAAGCGCAAUAAACUUCGUCUAUCUUCAUUUAAACUUUAAUUACGAUGACAGAAAGAAUUAUUAGCACAUUAAUAAUCCAGGAUUUCACUGGGACAUCGAACACCCUUUCUGCUGGACAACAGAGCGCUUUAUGCGACACUCUGAAAGAUUUCCGAAAGUCAUACAUAUCGAGCCCUGCAAUGAACGCACGUCCACGGAAAUGUCACUCAGUGCUCUCAACCUAUUCACUUUGAAGCGCUCCAUAGACAAUGUAACGCCUAUCGGUUUACAGAGCAUCGAAUUUCAUUAAUCUUCUUAAUUAAAACCGAGUUUCAAGUCGUUUCGCAUUGUGUAUUUUACGCCUACACAAUUAAGGUACUUCUUCUUGCGUAAUUAUAGCUUUUGUGGCUUUAGAAAGAUAUUGUGAGGUGAGUAGGUAGAUAUAGACGCUCUCGUCUGCUGACCUUUAGAGUAAUUGAAUAGACAUGAGACAGCAAAGUCCUUUGUCGAGCAAGUUGCAAUUUCAAGGCGCGUCGUAAUGGCCAGCUCUUUGUCCUGUCCAUUCUUAAGCGGUCCCCUUGAAGAUAGAUGGGGAUAACUCUAGACACGCGUAACAACACUUUGUGCGGUCGAAUGGCUGAUGAGGACGGAUUAUCCACCUAUAUCGCCUAACCCGGGGCCAUCUUGGACCGUUUACUUUACACGCUAAAGUUAAGUGUGGUCCACAUAAAACUGUCUGUAUACCUACAUUUUAUCACGUAGGCAGAUGGUUGAUGUUCAUAAAUUAGCAAUA